GACGAACGCUGGCGGCGUGCCUAAUACGUGCAAGUCGAGCGCAGGAAACUGACGGAACUCUUCGGCGGGAAGGCAGCGGAAUGAGCGGCGGCCGGGUGAGUAACACGUAAGGAACCUGCCUCAAGGAUUGGGAUAACUCCGAGAAAUCGGAGCUAAUACCGGAUAGUUCAUCGGACCGCAUGGUCCGAUGAUGAAAGGCGCUCCGGCGUCACCUUGAGAUGGCCUUGCGGUGCAUUAGCUAGUUGGUGGGGUAACGGCCCACCAAGGCGACGAUGCAUAGCCGACCUGAGAGGGUGAUCGGCCACACUGGGACUGAGACACGGCCCAGACUCCUACGGGAGGCAGCAGUAGGGAAUCUUCCACAAUGGACGAAAGUCUGAUGGAGCAACGCCGCGUGAGUGAUGAAGGUUUUCGGAUCGUAAAACUCUGUUGUAAGGGAAGAACACGUACGAGAGGAAAUGCUCGUACCUUGACGGUACCUUACGAGAAAGCCACGGCUAACUACGUGCCAGCAGCCGCAGUAACAC
rnacentral:rRNA from 1 species